ACUCUUCUGCGGGAAGGGCUUGGCGUAGACCGCGCACUGGAAGGCGUGCGCGCAGGUGUGCGUGACCAUGUGCUUGAAACGGCAGUAGCGCAGCGAGAAGGAUCGCCAUCACACGGCGCACUGGUGCGGCUUCUCCCCCGAGUGGAUGAACAUGUGCUUGGUGUCGUUUUUCCUUGAGCUGAACGUCUUGCAACAGUGGCCGCACGCAUAGCUGCCCCAGAUCCCGGAAGAAAAUCUCUCCCACACCACUGUAGUCAGAGAGGCCAGUGGGUGCAUGGAACUCCUCGCACGCGCUGUCAGCAGCAGCAGUGAGGAAGCCGGCAGCACAGUCUGGGAAGGAAGGAGGUGCUUGGCUCUCUCCCGGGCCGCCACCUUCGCCGUCCUCGCCAUCGGUCUCAUCGUCAGUUUCCUCGUCAUCGUUGUCACCUCGGUCGUCAGGGGCCGCGGACAGUGAGGGGUAGGCACCAAGCCCCUCGGCUUUGGCAGGUGUCGGGGGCGCAGGCAGCUGCAAACUCGCGGGCCGGCGCUGCUUACCGCUGUGCGCGGCACCGGGGUGCCCCGGGGGUGCGCAGCCAGCAGGUGGCGCAGGCGGUGACGCAGCUGCUCAGGUGCGAGUGGCGGGGGCACAGGGGUGGGCAGGGGCGCGGGUGCAGAGGUGCUCGCGGGUGCAGAGGAGCGCGUGCGAUAAUCUGCGUGCAUUCGUCGAUAACUGUCUAUGCGAAGCACCGACGCAGCCAUGAGUACCUGCGGGGCUUCACUCUGUGCCACAACGAGCGAACCGCUGUACAGGAGCUCGACUAGCUGUCGCACCGUCUGCACAGGCACCACCGAAGGCACACGGAUCUCAGAGGGGCCGAGCAGCAGCUUGUCUUGGAAGGAGGGCGAGCCGAUUGCCAGCCCGCAGCGGUGCGCACGCAGCGAAGCUUCAUGAAUGCACACAGUCACGUCGCAGAAGUGCCCACCCAGCUUCUGCCCAUUGAGGGUCUCAAGCAGAGAGCGUGAGAAGUUCUGCAGAUGUAUGUGGCGCACAGCCUCUACAGCCGCCGACUCCGACUCCUCUUCAGGCACCAGGCCUGGCCGUGGCCGCCUUCUCACCGACUCCAAGGCAGCACUUCCGGGCGCUUCUCUUUAUUUUUAUACAGUUUUAUUGAGAUAUAAUUUACAUGCUAUCCAGCCCAUCUAUUUCAAGUGUACCAUGCAAGGGGUUUGUAUAUAUUCACAGAGUUGUGUAUCCAUCACCAUCGUUUUAGAACAUUCAUCACUCCAGAAGAAACUACGUACCCAUCAGCAGCCACUGCCCAUUUCCCUGAUCUGCCCCGCCCUAGGAAAUCCGUAAUCACUUUCAGUCUAUGGAUUUGCCUAUUCUAGACCAUUCAUAUAAAUGAAGUCACACAACACUGGGUCUUAUGUGACUGGCUUCUAUCAAAGUUUGCAAGGUUCAUUUAUGUUCAUGCUGAUGAUAUAAACUGGCUCAUUUGAUGCCAAGACUGACCAUCACCACCAUACCAAGGUCAUCACUGAUCAGAGGCCUAACCCAAGGAGGGGGUCAUGUGCAGACCCAGCUGUGGGGAGGAAAGAUGCUGCAGAGGAGACGGAUGCCCACAGAGGCCCCUGAGUGGAUACAAUGCUCACUAAGUGGGCUGACCCCACAUUGGACACCGCUGCAUCCAUGUCCAUCACACAACACAGCUGCCGUUUCUUCUGCCUGCUUAUGGGAAAGUCCCCUCUUCUCCUCCGUUUUCUUCUCUUCCUGCCCUAUCACACCGUGCACUUCUCCCUUUCCUUAAAGAACCACCAUCAACUUUAGGAGGAGGGAAAGGGGUGGCUCUGGCAGGAAAAGCCAGAAUCCCCUCUAGCCAGCAGAGAGAGAGAGGAAUGGCUGCAUGUUUUCUCCCCCAGUCCAAGGCACUGGGUCUUGGCUGGGUUGAAGGUUCCAAGCUGCUCUCCUGCUGUGUCGGUGAGUUCUGGUCAACCUGCAACCUCCUGAUAUGGCCAUUGCAGUUCAUCGAGUCUUCAGGGACUCCCCAUGGCCUGGAGUACUUUGCCUUGCUUACACGGGAGAGGAGAAUGGAUUUAUAGAGAACAUCAUCUAAAUCCAACUUGACCAUUGUGUGGCCACACUUGCUAGAUUGCUAUAGUCUAAAUCUAGCAUUGUAGAAAGACGGGGGAGCUUGGAGCUGCACAAACCCAGGUCUGGAACUGGCUCCUUACCUUGGAAGGUGAAUGAUCCUGCCAGGACUCUUAGCCUCCCUGGGUCUCAAUUUCUUUAUCUGUUUCAUGGGAAUGAGGAUCUCUGCUGGGUGGUUGGGUGAUGUGGGGGCUGUGUGAAAACAGCUUGUCAAUACAAGCCAAAAUAGAAAUAUUUCUCCACAGAGUAUGAAGGUCAAAUGAGAGAAUACAUUUAAAUUAAAUGGAAAAUUAAAAUGGUAAAAAAUGCAAAGCUGUAUUGAAAGUUCCGAGCUUCUCUAUAAGGAGCUUUUUGACUAUGGAAGAAUCCUGUACUCGUUCCCCCUAAAUAU